rnacentral:rRNA from 1 species
GACGAACCGUGCGAACGUUAUUCGGAAUCACUGGGCUUAAAGCGCGUGUAGGCGGGCCGGCACGUCGGUCGCUGAAAUCCCCCGGCUCAACCGGGGAAGGGGCACCGAUACGACCGGCCUGGAGGGGGGUAGGGGGCGCCGGAACUUCCGGUGGAGCGGUGAAAUGCGUUGAGAUCGGAAGGAACGCCCGUGGCGAAAGCGGGCGCCUGGACCCCGCCUGACGCUGAGACGCGAAAGCCAGGGGAGCGAACGGG